UAUUUUAUAUGAGAGUUUGAUCCUGGCUCAGGAUGAACGCCGGCGGUGUGCCUAAUACAUGCAAGUCGAACGCGUUGGCCCAACUGAUUGAACGUGCUUGCACGGACUUGACGUUGGUUUACCAACGAGUGGCGGACGGGUGAGUAACACGUAGGUAACCUGCCCCAAAGCGGGGGAUAACAUUUGGAAACAGAUG
rnacentral:rRNA from 1 species